UGCCACCUGCCAAGCAAAGUGAGUGAGGCUUGAAGGAAAAGAGAGGGCAGACUCAGUGGGAAAAAUAUAACUUCCAUGGUACAAGGGGCUCUAUUUCCCAGUCUAUACAACCUAAUCUCCGCAUAAACUGAUCUCUAAAGUAGUCAGAGUCCCCCUGCAAGAAGAGCACCCCCUAACUCACUGCAGAGUUCUUGAACAAUCACAGUCUGAUCUGACCUGGAGUUUUCCCUUUUUUGCUUUCAGUAGAAACACCAAAGCCUCUCAGCUGAUUGGUCUUCAAUUUCAAUAUCCCUAAGAGAGGAAGGAGCUUUUCUUCUAUCCAUUCUAAUCAGAGGAAACAGCCCAGGCUGGAAAUAUCACACCUCGUUAGCACUUGUAUCCAAACCAAGACUCUAUUCCUAGAAAUCUCCCUUCUCUUAGUCCUACCAGUGCCUAGAAAGCAGCCUAUGCCCCACAUCUGUGCCCAGGUAAGGAUCUAGACCAUCAGAUCACAUUCCUACUCCUCUAAUCUGGCUUCUACAUUUGUCACUUCACAAGUUGGCUUGGCAGCGUCCACAGGGAAGGUGACAUUCAGCUUUUAGGCUAGUCAUUGAUAGGGCCAACCCUCACACUAUCACUCUGCUCCCUUGGGUCCUGAGUCCUGUAGAGGUGCAUGACCUCUUGCAGGAAGGAUAGGGGCUCCUUUACCCAGAAUCUCAGGUCUACAGGCCCAUGGACUCCUGGGCAUUCCUUCUCAACCACCCUGCAGAACAGCCCCCUCCCUAUUCCUGUUAGUUCUUACCCAACUACAUGAGCCUACUUCUUCCCAUCCAGGCUUUUGGCUUUCCUAUGUCUGGGUUUUUAUUGCUUCAUAGACUGAGCCUAGAUCGUAAACACACUCCUUACUUUCUGGAGUUUCUACAUCAAAUUGGUCAGAGGCUCAUUCUUUGGAUUAAGGAAGGAGUGGAUCCCAGUUUAUUCCCAGAGUUAAGAAUGGAGAGUCACGACAUGCUCUCUGCUGCUCACAAUUUUGUUAUAUCAAUGGAGCCUCCUGUUCGUCUCACUGUUGGUCUUCUAGAUACAGUUUGUUUUUAGAUAGGAAGGCCCCGAUUCCUUGGACCUUUGGUCUAUUCCGUUCUCCUCUCUCUUGCUGUAUUUCUAUUCUUUCUAUGGCUUUCUUUUAGUCACAGGGACAAUCUAUCACUUGGUGACAACUCUAAGAUGUAAGUUUUUUAAAUGCAUUUCCUCCACUUUAAGUUCAGAGUUACUUUAAGAGCAUUUCUCUUCCCUAGCCCUGAUGCUUUUUUGGCUGGGGUUUAAACCCAGUCCUGUUAUAGAGUUAUACUAAACCAUUCCUAGACUGAUGGGCCACUCCUAGAUUAGGCAACAAUAGCUCUCUUCCAGCAGCCAUUACAAUGCUCUUAGGAGGGCAGAAGCGCUCUUCCUCCCUGCCUAUUCCUAAAGGCAUACUAUCCUUGGCCUGUUCAUUUCCUUCUGAUAUCUGGGGAUUGACCCCCUUCCUCGGCGUCCCCAAGCCCUCUAGAACCUGGGUAAUCUUUGAUCCCUUGCUUAGAAACCAUAAUUCUUCCUUUCCUACCCCAUAGCUCCUUCCAUAAAGGCGAGAUGUCCAAGAACUGAGUCCUUCCCCUAGCUCUCAGGAAGACAGCAACAACCUUGCAUUGGAUUUACACUUCUUGUCCUUCCAACUACAAAAUGCCUGCAGUCAUAUACCUACACUGCAACUUCAAGCACUCUAAGCACUGUGGCUAAGGUUCUCCAGAGCUAAGGUACCCUAGAAACUUGCCCCAGUUUCAGCAGAAGUGGGGGCUGAGCUCAGCUGGGUCAAGUUUAUGGUAAAACAUGUUCUGGGGGAGGAGUCAGCCAAAAAUGCAGAGGGGCAAGAAGCCUGAGAUAUCAAUGACAGAAAACCAUGACCUCCUGGCUUUACUGGCAGUUGUCAAGGAGCUCCAAAAAGUACUAACGUCUGGAUUCACUUUUAUUUGGCACCCCUUCUCUCCAGGGGGCUCCCCCAUUUCACGAACUUCAGGCAGUCCUAAUUCCACUGAGAAGCCAGUCAUUCACUGAGGUUCCUUUCCACACUAGGAUCAUCCCUUCCUCACUGUUUUCUUCCCUGUCCUCUGCAAAGCUGGCUCCAGCCUGGUUGCUUCAGUGAGCUUUCUCUGCCUCCUGGCUAGAGUAGGAGCUGAGAGGCUGCCAAUUCUCAAAAAUACCUCAGCCCUUAAAAAAUACACCUGUGCUCCCUCUAUCCUAAGGUGAGGAGGGGUGGGCAGCAGGUAUUCAUGGAACCCUACACCACCUUAUCUGUACAACUCUGUAUUCCCAAAGGACAGCAAAGCUUAAAAAAAGAAAAAAAAAAUCCUGGCAAUAUGCCAGGUAACCACUGACAAGAGCUGCAACUUAAGACUAGACAAACACACAAAUGAAUCUUAAGACAAUGCAUGCAAAGAGAACACAGGCCUAUUGACUGCCUAGCCGAGUACACACCUACACCCACAGUUCUUUUUAUCUUCAAAGACCUGGAUGUCCACAAGCACACCUCUAGCAUACACACUGUUGUGACAGAUAGCCUACACAGUCCAUACCUCCUUCUCUCCCUCUUCUUCCUUGAGGCAGAAAUAUGGGGAUUAGGGUAAUCUUUAGCUUGGACCCCUCUCCUAUAUCUCAACUUUUAAAAGACAAAGGGGAUCUGCAAAGAUGCCAAGUAGUCCCAGUGUUCUGGGCUACCUUGGCACCUAGCUUGUCUCCAUCAAACUAGAGUUCUAAACCUUGGAAUAACCCUUUUAAUGGUAACUAAGGAAAAAAAGACCCCAGCUAGGCAGACUACCCUUUUCCUCCAACUCAGUCCAGGUAUCCAGUUAGAGUCAAGGACUAUGCUUAAACUCUCUAUGCCAGCUCUGAGAGAGGGAGAGGGUAGAAGAGGAAAGAGAAGGGUCUUGCUUAGAGGUCCCUCAUGGUUUCUCUACAAAUGUGAGAGCUUAACCCUUCCCAAAGGUGACAGUAGAACUCAGGCUAUCUAGUCUCACUAGAUGAUGUAUCAUCAGUUCAAGCCUUUCUCCUUCUGCCUCCAGGCAACCAGAUGCCCCAGCAGAAUUCUCAACCCGGCAAAGCUACAAAUACAUGCAACUUUUCCAAAGCCAUGCUGUGUUACAAGGGAGGGGUAAGUUGUGCUCUACUCAAUGGAAAUGGGACCCAGGUGUUACAUAUAAAAAAUAAAUAAACAUUUGAAGAAAUAAAAAGGGGAAAAGGAGAGGGCGAGGGAGAGAGACCUUGAGGUUCUUAAAGAGUAGUACCCUCUCUAACUGGUUCAGGGCUUUGGGCUGCUCCCCACUACUUAGCUCCAGUUUGUUGAGGAGACAUGGAGAAAUCUGUGAAAGACAGGCAAACGCACGAUUUAAACAGAGUGAAAUAAACUCAGACACACACCAACAGGGCACAGGGCAGGAAUGGGAAUGGAUGGCAGGGUAGAGGGGAAGGUCAGGUGCAUGCACCAAACAGCCAAAGGUCAUCUCCAUGGGCAGAACCUCUUAGGGCUGCAAGUAGAAUUCUCAUCAGAGGCCUGUGAAGUCCAGGGCUUCAGUUUACAAUAGAAAGAGGCCAUUUUUCUGACCACCAUUCUUCUCCCAGCAGUUUGAGAACCUUCCAACCUGGAGUCAGGCUUGAUCUGUCUCUUCAACAGAGGCUAGCACAAGCGUGAGCCCAAACUAAUCCAGCAUUAUGGUGGGAUUUGGAGCACAGUCUGUCUAGGCUCCUACCUGCUGAAAAGGCAGGGUUCUGAGGGGAUGGCAGGACUUUCAUUUUUGUCAACACACAUUUUCAGGCCAGCCUGGUAGGCCUCGCCCAGGGUCCAUGAAGGACUUGCUCACCAGCUUAUAUGAUGGGUCAACAAAGGCCAGAAAGGAAAAGUUAAGGAAGGAGAGGCAUCUGGGAGAGAAUAAAUUGCCCACUGAAGGAGUGGUAGCUAUUUUCUAGAUUCCAAGCAGACCUGUUUAGACAAAAGCAUGUCUUUGCUAAGCAAGCCUAUCCAGGAAAAUCCCCACAGCACUGAAGCUGGGAGAUCAAGGCUUAGAUGAGGGACAGCAGACCAGCUCCCAGAUCAUACCUUUUUCAUGUUGGUCCCCACAUAGUUCUUCGGUUCUUCUUUAAACUGAGGUAACCUACAAGAUAGAGAACCCCAGAGAAUGUCAUUAGGUAUAAUGACAAAUUCCCCCCCUCUAGCCAGCCACCACCCAAAAAUGUUCUGGGCCAGAGCAUGACCUGUUUCUCAGGAAAACCUAGGAAGAGAAAAAGGCUAAUCUCAUCCUUUUUCAGAGCUUCAUCAAAGAACCACAGGAACUGGGGGAUGCAUGACAUGAACACUUUUUGAAAGAGAAAGUAAAGUCCUCAGGGCAAGGUGACUAAGUGCCCUUGGAGUGUGGAGGUUCUUUUUAUCCUUAAACAGAUUCCACCCUGCUUGCGUUCACUUCUAAGUGUUGCUGAAAGCCAAGAGAUGGGGAGAGGGAAGUCUAUCAAAUCCUCAGGAGACUGGGCAUAGGCUGAGAAGAAAAAGGUAGGUUGAGGUUUUGAAACUAGUAGAUUUGAACUUCUGGAGUAAGAAACUCUUUGCAGCAGGGACCACAGACAGACGUAGUAAGCAAGGAUUAUUACCUACAGAUUUGAAGAGCAAAAAGAAAUCCCAGAGGGAGGUUUUAAAGCCAUUUCCUCAGCUCUUCUCAAAACUAGUCUAUUGAAAGGAGGUGUAGGAAACAGGCAGUAGGGCAUAGUAUGAAAAGGCAUCCUAGGCCCUAGGCUGAGGGCUUUGCCCAGGGUAACUAACCAUCCUGGUUUGCCUGGUACUGAGGGGCUUCCCAGCAUGUGGGACUUUCAGUCUUAAAAUCAGGACAAAAAAACCCAAAAAACAAAAACCAAACCUGUUGCCUUUGAGUCAGUUCCGACUCAUAGUGACCCUACAGAAAAUGGAGACGGUCCCAGGCAAACCAAGAUUACUGGUCGCCCUAUCCUUGGUCCCUCCUACAGUGAUCAGGACAAGCUCUGGGAGCUCAGCUCUCUAUUCCAGUCACCCUUGGACUUGGCUUCCUCUCUGGGUUCUCUUUCCCAGCUGUUACCUGAACAGAAACAGACACUAGUUUGGGACACAGAAUGAGGUCUGUUAGCCUAGAUUAAAUAACUCUCUACGCCUCCCUGAAGCCAAGCAAGCUCCCUCUUCUUUUUCCCUUGCCCGGUAACCCUGGGCCCAGAGAGCUACCCCCAUCCUUAAUCCCAGUGGCCUCUGAUAUGGCUGUGGGGUUGGCUGGGUCCCUGAAGUGGCUAUGUGGAAGCAGGCAGGCUCAAGAGGCCUGGGUAGCCGGGCUGAAGCAAACAGCAGCAGGUUUACCUUGUGAAGAGCAGCUGCACCAUGUCUACGAGAGUGUGCUCUGCGGAUUUUCUCAAUAACUCUGCACAAGCGAAAACAAAUAACACAGGUGUCAUUACUUGCUGUGCUAUUAUCAGGAGGCUUCUCAGAGCAGACUCCCCUCCAAACCUUGUUUACCAAGGAUUAUGCCAAACUUAUUAAAACCAGCUCCAGCUCAGCCUGGCAACCAUAAUGUCACUGGCCCACUAGGUGGCACUACUGAGUCAGGAAGAAAGGGGAGCAAUGCAUGUGUUCUGUGCAGUUGCAGGCUGGUGUCAAUCCCAGAAACCCUAGGGGAGGAAGAGUUGAUGCCUGAGCUGAGUCAGCCUGGAAUCCAUCCCACCUUCUGCCCUGGCACAAUGGGUUGAGGUCUCUAUUCUAUCUUCACAACAAGGAGUCAAGGACAAAGACUUCCAGACCCCUAUGACUCCACGAGGUGGGUGAUGGAGAAAUCCUGAGUUUUUCCUGUCUCUGGGGUUCAUCAGAGACAGCAUCCUGUGUUCAUGCUUACAGAUGCUGGCCCCAGGCAUGGUGAAGGAGACGAGAUUUAUGCACCUACCACUAAGCCUCAUUUCAAAGCAGAUCCGGAAGCAAGACUGCAUGAUCUCACACACUGAUUCAUUGGUCAGAAAAAGCUUUUACUUUGGGUACUCGAGCUGCUUGUUUGGAAACAAAGCCGCUCCCUAAGCCCCAGUGGAAUCAAAACACAGCUUCAAGUUGCCAGCAGACUAGGGAAACUCCAAUGACCAGCUGGCCUGAAGUCUCCAAUAACUAGCCUGUCUGCCAAGUUCAAGAAGGGAAGAAAGUAACAGGGACAAGACAGCAGAGGGAAAAGGCACAAGGGGGCAGCUGCUGGAGGCUGUGAAGAGAGAUGACCUGCAGGUGGUGCUCAGGGCAAGGCUGGAACUGGCUGGGCCUGAUUACGCUUAGGAAAAGUAUGAAGGGCUUGGGUGCCUGGAGAGGCUGAUACACCUAUUCAGAACCUAGCUGGCACCCAGGAUUCCUGCUCAGGAUCCUGAAUGCAUCAGCUAUGCAAACCCAACCUUCUAGAAUAGAUAAAUUUUCUUGCCCUGAUCUUAAGGCCAUUUUACAGCCUGAGCCUUAUCUUGUUUUGUUCCCCUACUUAGAAACAAAGACAGCCGUGUGUUUUCUAUGUUCCUCACACUUGCACACGGGCUGACAGUAAGGGAAAAGAAUCCAGGACCCUGAACAAUGAGACCAACUGAAAAGUAAUCCAAAGGAGACACCAUAAACUAUUCCAGAGAUAAACAACAGACUAGGUAAAUAUUUGGGCUAGACUGGGAGAAAAUACUUGUAAUACUAUCAUAGACUAAGGGUUGAUAUUCCUGAAAAAAGAGCCCUAUAAAUGAUAAGAAAAACAAAGACAACAACAACUCAGUUGAAAAAAAAAAAAAAAAAGGGCAGUGGAGAAGAAAUUCAAACAGCCAAUGUUCAAUCUCAAGGAAAUAAAAACACCACCAUACCAGUUUUCACCCACCAGAUUAGCAUAAGUAAAGAACAGUGAUAAUAUUCAGUGCUGGUGAUAGGGAAGGGGAUGGAUGCUCUUAUACAUUGCUGGUGGAAGGGUAAAAUGCUGUAACCUUUUGGGAAGGCAACCUGGGAGGACCUAUGAAAAUGUAAUAUGCACAUGGCCUUCAAUCCAGAAACCCCAGGUAAAUAGGAAUCUGCUCUACAAAAUGAAAUUUGUAAAUAAGGACAUAUGAACAAUGAUGCUUUUUUUUAGCACUAUUUAUAAUGGCUCCAAAUAGCAAACAACUUAAAUAUUAAUCAAUAAGAAAAUGAUUGAUUAAUUGUGUUAUAGUUGUACUAUGGAAAUUACAGAGCUAUCAAAAAUAAUAGAUCAGAUUGGUAAUUCUAUCAUGUACAUCUAAUACUAUCAAGUGAAAAAACAAAAUAUGUAGCACAUAAUUCUAUUUUUAUUUCUUUUUAAAAAAGGUGUGGUACUUAAAUAUAUUUAUACACACAUAGAGAGUCACACCAGGCUGUUAACACUAUUUACCUCAAGCAGGGGAAGAAGCACUGAGAAAGAAGACAGACCAUUAACUUUUUUUUUUUUUUAGAUACCUCUUUAUUUUUUGUCUUCUUACAAUAAAAUUGGCAUGUAUUAUAUUGGAAAAGUAACUAAAAAUAAACCAAAUCAACAAACAAAACCUCCAAGGGCCUUAUACCCUUAACUCCCUCCUAGGCAUGCUCAGAAGAACCCAGAGUCCCAGUGAAACCUCCCCCCCUUCCCCACUCAAUACAAACAGUCAAUUAGCAUGAUAAGUAGCCAAUAACAAUCAUAUUUCUCUUAUAUAAGGAAAGAGAUGGCUGGAAAAAAAUUUCUCAGUAUCACCAGCUCAUUGCCUAGGGCCUGGCCCCUCCUCUCCUCCCACAGAGAGGCAGGAAAUGAAGUGCUGUGGUUAUCCAAGAAAAGUCUGAGCUCUUACCUAUGAG